rnacentral:rRNA from 1 species
UACGAAGGGGGCUAGCGUUGCUCGGAAUCACUGGGCGUAAAGCGCACGUAGGCGGCUUCUUAAGUCGGGGGUGAAAUCCUGGAGCUCAACUCCAGAACUGCCUUCGAUACUGGCGAUCUUGAGUCCGGAAGAGGUGAGUGGAACUCCUAGUGUAGAGGUGGAAUUCGUAGAUAUUAGGAAGAACACCAGUGGCGAAGGCGGCUCACUGGUCCGGUACUGACGCUGAGGUGCGAAAGCGUGGGGAGCAAACAGG